rnacentral:rRNA from 1 species
AGAGUUUGAUCCUGGCUCAGAAUGAACGUUGGCGGCGUGGAUUAGGCAUGCAAGUCGAGCGUGUACCCCGCAAGGGGGAAAGCGGCGUAAGGGAGAGUAAUACGUAGAUACGUGCCUCCGGGUCUGGGAUAGCCACGGGAAACUGUGGGUAAUACCGGAUAAUGUCUAAGGACCAAAGGUGUGAUUCCACCUGGAGAUCGGUCUGCGUCCUAUCAGCUUGUUGGUGGGGUAACGGCUCACCAAGGCUACGACGGGUACGGGGUGUGAGAGCAUGCCCCCGCUCACUGGGACUGAGACACUGCCCAGACACCUACGGGUGGCUGCAGUCGAGGAUCUUCGGCAAUGGGCGCAAGCCUGACCGAGCGACGCCGCGUGCGGGAUGAAGGCCUUCGGGUUGUAAACCGCUGUCAGUGGGGAGGAAGGCCCUGUGCAGAGCAGGGUUGACCUUCCGCAGAAGAAAUUC